CCCUGCCGCUGCUCACUACGAGCAAUCGCCCUGCUGCUGCUCCCUGCAAGCAAUCGCCCUGCUGUAGCACUUGUGUGCUUUGAUUAUCUCUACCAUGAAUGGCCAUAUGUCAGGCCAGAAGUGGAUGAACAGUCUAUAUAGACUGAGUCUUCUCAAGAGUUGCUAUCUGGAUCCUGUGUCUAUCAUUACUGUGUAUAUAGAGAUUUCUCCAGCAUAGCACAUCCCCAUGCCCUUCAGAAGGCAUUUGAAGUGCAGACAUUGCCUGUGUCUUCUCUGAGAUGCUAAACCAAUACAUACAUACAUACAU
rnacentral:sRNA from 1 species